UACGGAGGGUGCAAGAGUUAUCCGGAUUCACUGGGUUUAAAGGGUGCGUAGGUGGGUCUGUAAGUCAGUGGUGAAAUCUCCGAGCUUAACUCGGAAACUGCCAUUGAUACUAUAGAUCUUGAAUUAUCUGGAGGUUAGCGGAAUAUGUCAUGUAGCGGUGAAAUGCUUAGAUAUGACAUAGAACACCGAUUGCGAAGGCAGCUGACUACAGGUAUAUUGACACUGAGGCACGAAAGCGUGGGGAUCAAACAGG
rnacentral:rRNA from 1 species